rnacentral:misc_RNA from 1 species
AAGACUAUAGACCUGCGGAGUACCUGCGGAGGGAUCAUUGAUGUAUUACAACUAAUCAUGGUAGCGUUGGUCACGUAUGAUCACAUUGUAUCACUCGCUCGUUCGCUCGUUCAUUCAUUCGUUCAUCCACUCGUUGGAUUGACUGAUCGAUCGAUCGACUGACCCGUGUGUCUAAUGUAAUGUAAUUGACCAACACAUCCAACUAUAUACUAUACUAUUUAUUAUACACUAAUAACAAAC